UCCCAACCUCUAAUUCAUGGUCAUUGAUUCCCCACAAAUAAUUAGCAGAGGUGCAGAAGGCUGUUCACUUAUUCCCUGAUCCAAGGCUAAUGGAAGUGAGGACACACUCCCUUCGGUAAGUUGGGGUCAAGCCAUCAGGAUCAGAGCAUGGAUUUAGCAUCCGGAGCCAUGGAUCUUCUCCCCACACAACUGGAUUUUGUUAGUACAGCUAUUCCUCUCUCUCUCUGUGGUUCACUCUGCUGUUUGUAGUCCAGCUGUGUAAGCUCCCUCAUCCCUGUUUUCUGAGGUACUUCAAAAAGGGAUAGAUUAUUCCUCCACUGUUUUGUUGCAUCAGGAGUUUUAUUCCUCUGACUAGUGAGUUUGCCUUCAUCUGCCUCUUGUAACAAACUCACUGCAGGGCUGAAAUCUCUCCCUCGCGUCCCUGCACUAAAACCUUCCCUGAAGCACAUCUUCAGACAGUGAGCCAAAAAAGUCAAUUAAUUGUUUAUUUUUUUCAGAAAAAAAGUUCAGUUUCGUUGUCCAGCUCCUGGAAACUCAAGUGCAUCCUGUUCCUGAGGAUGCUGGGCUUGCAAAGGGCAGCAGAGAGGCAUCUUGCACUCUCCUGUUCGUGUGGACACACUGGAGGAUUUUCUGCAUGGAUAUGAGGAACACGAGGGGACCCCCCAGCCACAAUGCCAGGAGGGACUUGGGCUUAAAGCAGACCUGGAGGACAUGGUUUUCCCCUUUGGGUGACCAUAACAGAUCACACACAGGGUGAGCAGAGCUCUAACUCACCACACGACACGUUCCUUAUGUAAUUGUGCUGCGCUGGCCACUGGCACAGAAGCCUGGAUUUAUGUUCUGGUGAAUGUCUAAAACAGCGAGUGUGGGAAUUUGGUCUCCUUGGUGAUGAAACCAACCAAUGGAAAACACAGAAAAAAAGAGAAGCUAAAACCAUCCAUGGACCUUGCUUUUAUUUUCAGAGUGGAGGAUAUUUCAGAGUGAAUUAGCCUGUCUUUUAUCUGCUUUUAUACCUGUGGCUGGAUAGCAGAGGACAGCUUAAUUGUUCCGUUGUUCAUGAUGGACAAGUAUCCCUAAAAAAAGAGGACUCCAGUUUGCCAUAGACAAAGAGGAUCUAGAAAUCAAGAUAAUCCAGCUCUUAGUCACCUGAUUUUGUCUGACAAAUGCAGCCAGUGUUGGAGGGAAGCACUCAAUGCCCUCAGAGGAACCAGUUCCUUGCAAAGUUAACUGGUUUCAUCGGAGAUCACACUGUGAUUUGACAUUCCUGGGUAAACCCUUGGGGAAUUCCAGAGUGGAUGGCAGGCUGGGUGCAAGGACCGACCCCCAGCUGGGGCUUGGAAAGUUGGCAUCCUCUGGAGCAGCUCCUUGUAGCUCCCUGAGGUCUGCCCACCAUCACAAGGACAGGAUGCGUGCCUGGCAUGGUUCUUGCCUUCAUCUGAGUCGUCCCAAAACAGGAUCAGCUAUCCCAGGAACACCCCUGAAGUUGAGAAUUAAAACAGGAUUAAAGAGCCAGCAUCUGAAAGAUGCUGCUUUCGUUCCAGGCAGAGGGAGCUCAUUCGGAAACCUCUGGAGCUGCCGUGAAAUGGGAUCAUCGCCCGCCGGGGAGCUCCAGAGCCCACGUGAGGGCUCCCCAUCCCAGCCUGGCACGUGAGGGAUGCAGUGCCACUCUGGAAUGUUGGGAAGUCGGCUGAAAUCCUCCUGCAGCAGCACAAGGCUGGGUUUGUAGCUCUGUGAUGAUUCCGUGGUGGUUUCAGCGCUCAGGCUCGUGACUCCAAACCCUGACAGCAAUGUCUGGCCAGUAACACACACUCCCACCGAGGCCUGGUUUUUUUGUCUCAUCUUGCUGUUCGUGAGUACUGUUUGUUUAGUUAUUUAUUUAAAUCUCCUUCUUCUCGCAUCAUCUCACUUUGCAGUUUGCUUCCGUUCUCCUGCACAAAGACCAGUACAAACCUCCAGACUCCAGAAGCCAUUCCAGGCCCAGGCAUUAAGGUUGCAAAGGGGGAAUGGCUUCCCACUGCCAGAGAAUAGGGUAAGGUGGGAUAUUGGGAAGGAAUUGUUCCCUAUG